CGGCGUGCUUAACACAUGCAAGUCGAGCGGUAAGGCUCCUUCGGGAGUACACGAGCGGCGAACGGGUGAGUAACACGUGAGUAAUCUGCCCCGCACUUCGGGAUAACCAUCGGAAACGAUGGCUAAUACCGGAUACGACCGACCCUCGCAUGAGAUGUCGGUGGAAAGUUCUUCGGUGCAGGAUGUGCUCGCGGCCUAUCAGCUUGUUGGUGGGGUAACGGCCUACCAAGGCUUCGACGGGUAGCCGGCCUGAGAGGGUGACCGGCCACACUGGGACUGAGACACGGCCCAGACUCCUACGGGAGGCAGCAGUGGGGAAUAUUGGACAAUGGGCGAAAGCCUGAUCCAGCAACGCCGCGUGAGGGAUGACGGCCUUCGGGUUGUAAACCUCUUUCAGCUCCGACGAAGCGCCUUCAUAAGGUUGUGACGGUAGGUGCAGAAGAAGGACCGGCCAACUACGUGCCAGCAGCCGCAGUAACAC
rnacentral:rRNA from 1 species